GGAAGAAUACCAGAUGAGUUGAAGGUGACAGAGCUUGUGCUGCUGGUGUACAGUGGGCACAAUGGCUAAGGGACACAAGUACGCUGCAUGCAUCCUGCAUUACCAGCUGGAAGCACAGGUCUAUUAUCCACUCCAGCAACUGAUACCCAGCAGCGUUGGUGAAAAGACAGGAGGCUACAUGAACUGUUGAGAAAGAGUUUACCUCUAGAAAAAGGGAGUGCUCUUCCAUACACUGGUAAAACGGAUGGAGAAAUUUUCAUGGUCUGUAGGCAAUGCUGUUCUUACUCCAGGGACCCUUUGUUUAAGCCCCACAGCUGUCAAAUGAACUGGAUGAGUGCCCUGCAGUCCCUGUUGCCA
rnacentral:lncRNA from 1 species